GGUUAAGCGACUAAGCGUACACGGUGGAUGCCCUGGCAGUCAGAGGCGAUGAAGGGCGUGCUAAUCUGCGAUAAGCGCCGGUAAGGUGAUAUGAACCGUUAUAACCGGCGAUACCCGAAUGGGGAAACCCAGUGUGAUUCGUCACACUAUCAUUAACUGAAUCCAUAGGUUAAUGAGGCGAACCGGGGGAACUGAAACAUCUAAGUACCCCGAGGAAAAGAAAUCAACCGAGAUUCCCCCAGUAGCGGCGAGCGAACGGGGAGGAGCCCAGAGCCUGAAUCAGCAUGUGUGUUAGUGGAAGCGUCUGGAAAGGCGCGCGAUACAGGGUGACAGCCCCGUACACAAAAGCGCAUGUGCUGUGAGCUCGAUGAGUAGGGCGGGACACGUGGUAUCCUGUCUGAAUAUGGGGGGACCAUCCUCCAAGGCUAAAUACUCCUGACUGACCGAUAGUGAACCAGUACCGUGAGGGAAAGGCGAAAAGAACCCCGGCGAGGGGAGUGAAAAAGAACCUGAAACCGUGUACGUACAAGCAGUGGGAGCACCCUUUGGGGUGUGACUGCGUACCUUUUGUAUAAUGGGUCAGCGACUUAUAUUCUGUAGCAAGGUUAACCGAAUAGGGGAGCCGGAGGGAAACCGAGUCUUAAUUGGGCGUUAAGUUGCAGGGUAUAGACCCGAAACCCGGUGAUCUAGCCAUGGGCAGGUUGAAGGUUGGGUAACACUAACUGGAGGACCGAACCGACUAAUGUUGAAAAAUUAGCGGAUGACCUGUGGCUGGGGGUGAAAGGCCAAUCAAACCGGGAGAUAGCUGGUUCUCCCCGAAAGCUAUUUAGGUAGCGCCUCGUGAAUUCAUCUCCGGGGGUAGAGCACUGUUUCGGCUAGGGGGUCAUCCCGACUUACCAACCCGAUGCAAACUGCG
rnacentral:rRNA from 1 species